GCCCGGUUAGCUCAAUCGGUAGAGCGUGAGACUCUUAAUCUCAAGGUUGCGGGUGAGUACAUCUCCACGUCCACGAAUCCCAAGUCCACCACUGGCACCAAUACUGACAGUUGUCUCAGGUUCGACCCCCGCAUCGGGCU